CUCCGGUAUCCGUACCAACUCCUCCUGCACCCCUUGUUCCAGAUGUAUCCACCAUGCCUAACGCUUCUGCACAUUUAACCCCUCCACCCAGGUAUGGAGGGGAUGCUAAGUCUUUCAGGGGAUUUAUUAAUCAAGUGGAAUUCCACUUUGAGAUGUAUCCACGUUCCUUUCCCACUGACAGGUCUAAAGUGGGAUUCUUUAUGCACCAACUUACU